CCUACGGGGGGCAGCAAUGAGGAAUAUUGGUCAAUGGCCGAGAGGCUGAACCAGCCAAGUCGCGUGAGGGAAGACGGCCCUACGGGUUGUAAACCUCUUUUGUCGGGGAGCAAAGCGAACCACGUGUGGUUGAUUGAGAGUACCCGAAGAAAAAGCAUCGGCUAACUCCGUGCCAGCAGCCGCGGUAAUACGGAGGAUGCGAGCGUUAUCCGGAUUUAUUGGGCGUAAAGGGUGCGUAGAUGGCAUAGUAAGUCUUUUGUAAAAAUGCUGGGCUCAACCCAGUAGGGCAAAAGAUACUGCAAGGCUAGAGUAUGACAGAGGCAAGUGGAACUAGAUGUGUAGCGGUAAAAUGCGUAAAUAUAUGGAAGAACACCAGUGGAGAAGGCGGCUUGCUGGGUCGAUACUGACAUUGAGGCACGAAAGCGUGGGGAGCAAACAGGAUUAGAUACCCUAGUAGUC
rnacentral:rRNA from 1 species